rnacentral:rRNA from 1 species
AACGAACGCUGGCGGCAUGCCUAACACAUGCAAGUCGAACGAGACCUUCGGGUCUAGUUGCGCAGGGGUGCGUAACGCGUGGGAACCUGCCCUUAGGUUCGGAAUAACUCCCCGAAAGGGGUGCUAAUACCGGAUAAUGUCUUCGGACCAAAGAUUUAUCGCCUUUGGAUGGGCCCGGGUUGGAUUAGCUAGUUGGUAGGGUAAAAGCCUACCAAGGCGACGAUCCAGAGCUGGUCGGAGAGGAUGAUCAGCCACACUGGGACUGAGACACGGCCCAGACUCCUACGGGAGGCAGCAGUGGGGAAUAUUGGACAAUGGGCGAAAGCGUGAUACAGCAAUGCCGCGUGAGUGAUGAAGGCCUUAGGGUUGUAAAGCUCUUUUACCCGGGAUGAUAAUGACAGUACCGGGAGAAUAAGCUCCGGCUAACUCCGUG